rnacentral:rRNA from 1 species
AAGUCGUAACAAGGUUUCCGUAGGUGAACCUGCGGAAGGAUCAUUACCGAACCGUCGACACGAGUUGUUGCUGGUCCUCAAAUGGGGGCAUGUGCACACUCUGUUUACUCAUCCACUCACACCUGUGCACCCACUGUAGUUCUGUGGCUUGGGGGGCUCUGUCCUCUCUGCUGUGGUUCUAUGUCUUUACACACACACUGUAAUAAAGUUUCAUGGAAUGCAUGACGCGUCUAACGCAAUACAAUACAACUUUCAGCAACGGAUCUCUUGGCUCUCGCAUCGAUGAAGAACGCAGCGAAAUGCGAUAAGUAAUGUGAAUUGCAGAAUUCAGUGAAUCAUCGAAUCUUUGAACGCACCUUGCGCCCUCUGGCUAUUCCAGAGGGCAUGCCUGUUUGAGUAUCAUGAACACCUCAACUCUCAUGGUUUUGCCGUGAUGAGCUUGGACUUUGGGGGUCUUGCUGGCCUGUGGUCAGCUCCUCUCGAACGAAUCAGCUUGCCAGUGUCUGGUGGCAUCACAGGUGUGAUAACUAUCUACGCUUGUGGUUUUCCACCAGGUAACCUUCAGUGAUGGAGGUUCGCUGGAGCUCAUAAAUGUCCCUCCUCAGCGAGGACAGCUUCUUGAAUGUUUGAUCUCAAAUCAGGUAGGGCUACCCGCUGAACUUAAGCAUAUCAAUAAGCGGAGGA